CAUAGAUUUGUUCAUGUAGUGUAUUUUUGUUUGUGUUUAUGGUAAGUGAAUACGAAAGUGAUAUGUCUGGGAUUUUCCACUGUCCCUCAUUUUCGGAGCAGUAUAGGACCUGAUGUAUACCAGUCUGACAAGUUGCUAUAGUAUAGGACCUGUAUACCAGUCUGCAGGUCGGAGCAGUAUAAGACCUGUAUACCAGUCUGACAAGUUGCUGUAGUAUAGGACCUGUAUACCAGUCUGACAGGUCGGAGCAGUAUAGGACCUGUAUACCAGUCUGACAGGCAGUGUAAAACUGUCAGAGCCUGUCUGGCUUCACUUGAAUCAUACACUAAGGGGCCAGGAGCUAGUGGCCUACUACACCCUACUACUCCUUCAUGGUAGGUACCUCUCACCAUGGAAGGCCCCUGGGUUGGGAAUGGGAUGGUGGUUAAUAACCAUGGGCAUCUUCUUUCUGUCUCAAUCAAUCUCUCAAAAGUUGAAAUGUUGAUCUUUUUUGUGUAUUGUAUCAAUUUUCAGGACCCAGGACAAGACUUUAAAAAAAAUCUGUUUCUUCCACUACWGUAAGUUUGCAUGCUUGCUAAAACUAAAAUAAGAAAAUGCAAGAUCUUUUUAAUCUUUUGACCAACAUGCUUCUCUUUUGAAGAUAACUUUUAAAAUGUAUUCUCAAUUUGUUUUGGACUGUGUUGUGGUAUGGCAGUCUACGGACCAUAUUACUGUGAGUAAAUGUCAUUAACUAUUCAAGAAACCUGAGUAAUUGUUACUUUGCUUUUUCUUCACUCAAUAUGGGCGGUUUUGUGUCUACAAUCAGUGUUCUUGUCUUUCCAGUCAUUAUGACGCCAGCAUUUCUCUGUGGUUUCGACGCUUGCAUUUUCCUUUGUGGGCAAGCUCUCUGUCUUAUGGAUGUGGAAUCAUGGUGUUUGCAGUUUGAGGAGCCAAGCAGAAAUACAGUUCUCUAUGACCAUUUCCGGAGACCUUCUCCUUACUCACCU